AAGCGCUUGCAACCAGACUUGCACGCUGUUGAUCAUCCAGGCUUCUGUUUGGUGCACUCAACUGUGUUCAGGCCAGCAUCGGUUCGGGUGGUUAGUUAAAGGUCCUGGGAAUGUAUCUACCUUCGGGUCGACUUAUAGCCCAGGUCGUAAUGUAGCCUACCUGGACCGAGGAACGCGCUUCGGCUCGGAUGCUGGCGUAAUGGUUGUAAGCG
rnacentral:rRNA from 1 species